rnacentral:ncRNA from 1 species
UGGACCUCGCACGGGAGCCCGGAACCGCCGGGCUGAGAGGGAGCCAGACGCUCCGACCGUUGAACCUGUCCGGUUAGCACCGGCGUAGGAAGCGAUGAUCUCAGGGCG